ACCAGCCGACGAGUCCCAAAUAGGACGAAAUAUUCAUCCUAGAU
rnacentral:hammerhead_ribozyme from 1 species